UCUAAAACUGUUUGAAUGAUGUCUGUGAGUAUAACAGAACUCAUAUGGCAAGCAAAAACCUGAGAGAAAUCCUACCAGGAAGUGGAAAUCUGGAUGCAUGGGCUCUCUUCAAGUCGUUUCCUAUUGAACACACAGUGACGUAGUAAUAAUUGUGCACUUCCUACGGCUUCCACUGGAUGUCAACAGUCUUUACAAAGUUGUUUGAGGCGUCUAUGACGAACAGAGACCGAAUGAGAAGGUGGGGAAGUUGGUCACCCAGGGAAUGACAUCACUUCAUUGGUGCGCGUUCACGAGGGUGGAUCCUCUGUUACAAAACGUUUUUCAAGACACAGGAACCGUCCGGUUGAAAUAUUACUGAAUCUUCACGUUCUAAAGGCCCUAAAGAUUGAUGUUUUACAACGUUUGACAUGUUUGAACGAACGUAAAUACAACUUUUUUUUACUUUUCGUCGUGACAUUGUCCGCGCGCUUCCUACAUUUGGAGUAGCUGAACUGAACGUGCGAACAACAAGGAGUUAUUUGGACAUAAAUUAUGAACUUUAUCGAACAAAACAACAUUUAUUGUGGACCUGGUAUUCCUGGAAGUGCCUUCUGAUGAAGAUCAUCAAAGUUGUCUUGAAAGCACCAUAAAUCCAGAGAAUGCCAGACAUUGAUGACAAAGGUUGAUGACAAAAUCUGUCCACAAAGGACCGCUGCACCACCUUCCUGUUCAAGUGAGGACAGCACAAGGAAUUGGUGCUUGGAGUUCGUCAGUCCUCAAGUGUGGACCAAUAACGCUAGCUUGGUGUGCAACAACCGGUGGUGCCCUAGGACCAUGCCUCAGGACUACCUGGCUUGAUGACUCCUUGCUGUCCCCAGUUCACCUGGCCGUGCUGCUGCUCCAGUUCCAACUGUUCUGCCUGCAGCUAUGGAACCCUGACCUGUUCACCGGACGUGCUACCUGUCCCAGACCUGUUGUCCCAGACCUGCUGGAACCCUGACCUAUUCACUGGACGUGCUACCUGUCCCAGACCUGCUGUUUUUAACUCUCUAGAGACAGCAGGAGCGGUAGAGAUACUCUCAAAGAUCGGCUAUGAAAAAGCCAACUGACACUUACUCCUGUGUUACUGACUUGUUGCACCCUCGACAACUACUAUGAUUAUUAUUAUUUGACAAUGCUGGUCAUUUAUGAACAUUUGAACAUUUGAACAUCUAGGCCAUGUGCUGUUAUAAUCUCCACCCGGCACAGCCAGAAGAGGACUGGCCACCCCUCAUAGCCUGGUUCCUCUCUAGGUUUCUUCCUAGGUUUUGGCCUUUCUAGGGAGUUUUUCCUAGCCACCGUGCUUCUACACCUGCAUUGCUUGCUGUUUGGGGUUUUAGGCUGGGUUUCUGUACAGCACUUUGAGAUAUCAACUGUUGUAAGAAGGGCUAUAUAAAUAAAUUUGAUUUGAUUUGAGGUACCCUUUAAAUAAGAAGAAUUAGGCUCCAACACAGAGCCCUCUCCUUAUAAAGUCGAAUUAAAACAAAGAAAGUUUAAAUGAAUCAGGUGUUCUACAAUUAGUCUACUUUUAGCAAUCAUGCACUGUCCAUCUCCGAUGGAUUGUGCCGGGGCUGCUGCUUCAAUGUAGCCAAAUGUAAAUUAUCUGGCUUAUUGUGAGAUCAAUAACUAUGAUAAAUAGCUUCACCAUGGGAAACGAAACAUAUUGUUUUAAUUUUUAAAAACUAUAGCAGUAGCUAACUAUCAGUUUACCUUCUCAUCUUCACGCGUGCCGUCUCAAACUGAACAGGACAUCAGAUUACCGCUUGCACAGAUAUAUUGCAUUUUUUUUACAAAUCAAAAUGCUUCUCUGAGCAUGCACUUCGUAUAGCCUAGGCCUAUAGCCUAGUAUAGGCUAUGGAUCAUUUGAUUAAGACCACACUAAAUAUAGGCGCACUUGAUAUUGUGCGCCCAGCAGAGAAUCAGGGAUGAGUGGCAGCAUCGGGCACAUAUUGAGCUAUAACUAGUGUUGGGGUAUGUUCCUUGUUCCUUGUCAAUCAUUGGCUUGUUGGUGAAAUCAGCAAUCAGACAAUAUCUUCUUUAAGUAAAUCAAUCAAACCUUUAUUCAUGCAAUUGCAGACAGAAGUUGACAAUGGAAACAUAGCACGCGUGUUUCAGAGUAAGUUCUGCAAAAUAAAAAAGGUCAAAGUUACUUUAAUAUGCUGCCAGUCAACCCCUAGUGAUGUAACUGCCUAUGUCAACAUCUUCUACUCAUGAGAACAAGCCCAUGCAUAUACAGUUAUACAAACUGCAGGAGAAAACAGUAGUCCAGUGUGUUCUAAGUGCUCAGCAGUAAUUUUCCAUUCCCGUGUAGCUUACAGUGGUAUGUCUGACUUGUCUCUUAUCUCUUUACUCCCCUGCAGGGUUCUGUGUUUAUGUAUCUCUUUUAGCCUUGAGACGCUUUCUCACAGACAACCUGUUUUGACUGCAAUAGCUCACACAUCUCUCAGACCGUUUCUUAUAAGAGGCAGAGACUAGAAAAGAACUGUGGAACAGUAUUAAAGUUUAUAAUGCAUAUAUUGCUAAUCUGUGGUCCAGGACCCUAUAAAUGUAGUGGGGGAGGGUCUUAUAGCCCUUCCCCUUCUAUUAAUACAACAUAAGCAUAAUCAAUUAUUAUAAUACAUCAAUCAUUUGGUGCAGCCCCUAUCAUGACCCCAAGGUGACCCCCAUCACUAGCAACUAAUUCUAAAACACUGAGCAAUACUGAAAUUGAAAAAGCAUGGCUCUCCUGUUUUUUUCUGGGUCACAGUUCCAAAAAUGGCUUAACAUUUUUUUAUAGACCUACAGUGUAUUGCAUUGGGUGCUAUGGAACAGGGCUGGGAAUUGCCAGGAAACUCACGAUACAAUAUUAUAACGAUACUUAGGUGCCGAUACGAUAUGUAUUGUGAUUCUCACGGUUCUAUAUGUAUUGCGAUUCAAUACUGUGAUUUUAUUGUGAUUAGAUGUUCUAAAAUCCUUCUAUGUAAGAGAUACAUAGAUGAUGUCUGUGUCAGUCGUUGCUAGGAGUGGUGGUAGGAGUCAGGCGCAGAGAGCAGAGGUAAGGAACUGUGUGUUUAUUCAAUAAAAACACAACACGAUCGACGCCAACACAACGGGCGUGAAAAAUGCAAAGUGCCCAAACAACAGGUGCACAGCAUGCAUGAAAAUAGAACAGUAGUAGAUCGCCAGCACAUCCAAAUACAAAACACAACCUGACGCUAAAUAAUCCCGCACAACACUGGGCGGGCUAACCAGGCUUAAAUAACCAAAAUCAAAAGACAAAUGAGGAACAGGUGCAACCAAUAAGACAAACCAAACGAAAAG
rnacentral:lncRNA from 1 species